rnacentral:rRNA from 1 species
CGAACGCUGGCGGCGUGCCUAAUACAUGCACGUAGAACGCUGAAGAGAGGAGCUUGCUCUUCUUGGAUGAGUUGCGAACGGGUGAGUAACGCGUAGGUAACCUGCCUUGUAGCGGGGGAUAACUAUUGGAAACGAUAGCUAAUACCGCAUAACAAUGGAUGACACAUGUCAUUUAUUUGAAAGGGGCAAUUGCUCCACUACAAGAUGGACCUGCGUUGUAUUAGCUAGUAGGUGAGGUAAUGGCUCACCUAGGCGACGAUACAUAGCCGACCUGAGAGGGUGAUCGGCCACACUGGGACUGAGACACGGCCCAGACUCCUACGGGAGGCAGCAGUAGGGAAUCUUCGGCAAUGGGGGCAACCCUGACCGAGCAACGCCGCGUGAGUGAAGAAGGUUUUCGGAUCGUAAAGCUCUGUUGUAAGUCAAGAACGGGUGUGAGAGUGGAAAGUUCACACUGUGACGGUAGCUUACCAGAAAGGGACGGCUAACUACGUG